rnacentral:ncRNA from 1 species
GACGAAGUGCUGUCUUGUAAGUUUACAGAGGUCGAAAGUACUGGUACUGCUUGCGCAGCGUCAUAGGAGUCGCUUUGAUCUUGAUGUCGCUCUCCUUCAUUGUAGCAAAUCCCCAGCGUGGAUUGUUCACCCAUGCAGGGACGUGAGCUGGGUUAGACGUCGUGGACAGGUUAGUUUACCCUACUAAUGACAAAACGUGUGCGACAGCAUCCUGCGUAGUACGAGAGGAACCGCAGGUACGGACCAAUGGCACAUACUUGUUCGAGCGAACAGUGGUAUGACGCUACGUCCGUUGGAUUAUGCCUGAACGCCUCUAAGGUCGUAUCCGUGCUGGACUGCAAUGAUAAAUAAGGGGCAAUUUGCAUUGUAUGGCUUCUAAACCAUUUAAAGUUUAUAAUUUAUUUUAUAAACGACAAUGGAUGUGAUGCCAAUGUAAUUUGUAACAUAGUAAAUUAGGAGGAUCUUCGAUCACCUGAUGCCGCGCUAGUUACAUAUAAAAGCAUUAUUUAAUACAAUGACAAAGCCUAGAAUCAAUUGUAAACGACUUUUGUAACAGGCAAGGUGUUGUAAGUGGUUGAGCAGCUGCCAUACUGCGAUCCACUGAAGCUUAUCCUUUGCUUGAUGAUUCGA